rnacentral:misc_RNA from 1 species
AACCUUAUGGACCUGCGGGCGUAUACCUGCGGAGGGAUCAUUACCUAGAGUUGUAGGCUUUGCCUGCUAUCUCUUACCCAUGUCUUUUGAGUACCUUACGUUUCCUCGGUGGGUUCGCCCGCCGGUUGGACAAAACUUAAACCCUUUGUAGUUGCAAUCAGCGUCUGAAAAAACUUAAUAGUUACAACUUUCAGCAACGGAUCU